CUUCGGCUAAUACGAUGAGCGA
rnacentral:snRNA from 1 species